rnacentral:rRNA from 1 species
UACGUAGGGUGCAAGCGUUGUCCGGAAUUAUUGGGCGUAAAGAGCUCGUAGGCGGUUUGUCGCGUCGAAUGUGAAAACCCGGGGCUCAACCCCGGGCCUGCAUUCGAUACGGGCAGACUAGAGUGUGGUAGGGGAGACUGGAAUUCCUGGUGUAGCGGUGAAAUGCGCAGAUAUCAGGAGGAACACCAGUGGCGAAGGCGGCGACCUGGGCAGAUACUGACACUGAGGUGCGAAAGCGUGGGGAGCAAAAAGG